rnacentral:rRNA from 1 species
UACGUAGGGACCGAGCGUUGUCCGGAAUCAUUGGGCGUAAAGAGCAUGUAGGCGGCCUUUUAAGUCCUGCGUGAAAUCCUGCGGCUCAACCGCAGACGGUCGUGGGAAACUGGAAGGCUAGAGUGCGGGAGAGGAGAGUGGAAUUCCCGGUGUAGCGGUGAAAUGCGCAGAUAUCGGGAAGAACACCCGUGGCGAAGGCGGCUCUCUGGAACGCAACUGGCGCUGAGACGCGAAAGCGUGGGGAGCAAACAGG